rnacentral:rRNA from 1 species
UACGUAGGGUGCAAGCGUUGUCCGGAAUUAUUGGGCGUAGAGAGCUCGUAGGCGGUUUGUCGCGUCUGCUGUGAAAACUCGGGGCUUAACCCCGGGCCUGCAGUGGGUACGGGCAGACUAGAGUGCGGUAGGGGAGACUGGAAUUCCUGGUGUAGCGGUGAAAUGCGCAGAUAUCAGGAGGAACACCGGUGGCGAAGGCGGGUCUCUGGGCCGUAACUGACGCUGAGGAGCGAAAGCGUGGGGAGCGAACAGG